rnacentral:hammerhead_ribozyme from 1 species
AUUCAGCUGAUGAGUCCCAAAUACGACGAAACGCGCGUCAAACUAGAU